ensembl:lncRNA
AAUCCUGGCAAUUUGUUUAGCUAUUUUUUGUUUAACUAUUUUUUGUUUUUUGUUUUUUGUUUUUUUUUUUAAGAUAAAUAUAAAAAAAACUAAAAAUAUAGAAAAAUUAAUUUCUGAGAUAUAUAAUCAAGAAUAUUUUACUCCAGCAUUUUUCGAGGAAAUAAAAUAUAAGGUAAGCAAACAUGUUGCCAUUGCCACAAUAAGAACAUAAAUAAUAUAUAUCUGAACAAAUGUACAUAAAUACAUAUAUACGUACAUAUAUAAUAAGAUGUUUUAGGUUUAUUUUAAAUAAUCUAUUAUUAGGUCUAAUUUAUAUGAACACGCAUCUCCUACUCCUUCUUCUUCUUCUUCUUCUUAUUUUUAUUUUAUUUUAUUUUUAUUUAAGUCAAGGCAUUAACUCCUAUUAUUGAUAAUAGGUUAUAUAAAAUACGAAAAGACAGAUUUCUGUUAAAAUAUCCACAAGGUACACACUUAGUGUUAUUUUUAUGAGUCUUCAAAUGAGUUUUCACAUAUGAAAAAAUUGUAUAUAUAUAUAUAUAUAUAUAUAUCUUUGAAUGUUGUAACUAAUCGAAUGUAGGAAGCAAAACAACAUUUUACAACAACUGUAAAAAAAGAUGAAUAUAGUAAUUUUCUACAGGUUUGUGCAAAAUACUAUAUGCGCACAUUAAUACGUUCAUCUAUAUAAAUAUAUAUAAAUAUAUAUAAAUAUAUGUAAGCGUUACAGAAACGAACUGCAUAACUGCCUAUAUUUUUCUCCAAUAUUAGUUUAUUUAUUUAUUUAUUUAUUUAUUUAGUUUGGUUGGUUAGUUAGUUGGUUGAUUUGUUGAUUGAUUGGUCGAUUUUUUUUUUUUUUUUUUUUUGUAGUAUGAUGGACUUGUAGAAAUGCACACUCAUUAUGAAACUAGAUAUCACACAUGUGUUGAAUACAUUUGUAAUUUAUAUAAAUAUAGAAGGGAUAAAAAAAGAGCCAAAAUAUAUUUUCCUUCCAAAUUCAAAACUAUUGAAUAUUACGAUGAUUGCAGCCAACAAUUUUUAAAAAAACUCGAAGAGCGAAUAGGUCUUUAUUUACAUUUCACGUUUUAUGAGAAUAGACUAGAUGGAUUAAUACAUUAUAUAGAGGUAAAUAUAACAAUCAAUAUAAUUAAGAAAACACAAAAAAAAAAAAAAAAAAAAAAAAAUGUACAACUAAAAAACUAACUCUAACAAUUGACGUUUCUCCAUUUUAGAUAAAAGAUUACAAAUUGAUGGAAUAUUUUGUUAAUCGAGUUGAUAAGUAAUAAAAAAAAAUAAAAAAUAUAUAUAAUUUAUAUU